AUGGCCAGUUCCUAGCUUGUGCUUAGACGGUUGUUAGACGUUGAUACGUACCAGUUCAUAUUUACUUCAUCGAGGCAACAAUUCAAACGCCGGGAAUAACAUAGACAGAAAGAAGAUUACAAGGAGGAGUUCGCCUUGCGUGGCACACGUCAAAGCAAAAGACUCCACUUCCCGAGAGUUCGCCUCGUUAUGGAGGAGGGGUUUGAUUAUUUCGGACCGGCAUUAUAUGACGUCCUCCCCUGUGAUCUUUGUCACUGUCUUUGUCUAGUUUUGAAAAUGGAGUAGUUUUAGCGGAAAUAUCAUUUUUAACUUAAUCUUUUAUUAGAACUAUUUUAGUACUCAAUUAUUGUAGUGAAAUAAUUUCAUUAAUUGUUCACGGACACAUUCAUCUAUUAUACUUCUGUAACAAUCUAAUCUCUUAUAUUUUCCCAUCAAUUCAGAUCAAUAUAUAUGUAAAAUACUAGCUGAUGGGCACAGCAUUUCCGUCACAAUUGUUGAUAUUGCCGGGCCGUGACGAUUCUUGCAUUCUUAUUACGAUAUUCUCAUAUACGAUUCUUACAUCUUCCGUAACACUACGAGCUUAUAUUAUGUCACAACUUUAGGGUAAUAUAGUUGUAAAUUAUCAGCUGAUGAAUAGCAGUUUCGUAAAAAGACAGUGUUGGAUACCCAGAAUGCACAUGACAGUGGCUUCCCAAAAGAGACAUACUUUCCUAAAAGUGUCAAACCUGAAGAAAUGUGUUAAUGCCGCUAAAAUUGGCUAUAGUAUCGAUAGAGCCAUUAGGGCUAUUUUAGUUAUAUAAAUAUAUUUAAGGUGUGUAUACUCUUUAUAUCUUAAUGUCUAAGGAAACACUCAUAACUGACUAUAGGCUCACAUUUAAAAUCUCAUCUUCCUCUUUUUAAAGUCUUUGGGAAACCUAUUCCUGUGAUUAUAAUAUUCUCAGUCACUUAUUGUGUUCAAUUGUGCAUAUCACGGAAAUUAAACUGCACGUUUACGAUUCUUGCAAA